AUUUUAAUUCGUGAUUUCUCCGCUCACCCGAUGGCCGAUUAAUUUUUCAGCUUACGAUCCUAGUUACUCAAUUGGUCAUUUUUUCAAUAACUGUUGUCUGUGUUGAUAUUUAUUAUAUUACCAAACAUUUCAAUGAACAAUAAUCGGGUUCUUAACUCAAUUUUUUGUAGUGCUGCCGUCCAAUUCUCAUCCGCUGGGGCGAUUGUUGGCAACCCCUUCAGCAGCGGGAACGACGGGAACGUUCACCCUUCGCGCGUUCUCAUCCUCAAUAGCCAACGCGUCAACGUCAGGCCGCCUCUCAACUUGUCCAGCGCCCUGAAGAAGCCUGAGCCGCCCCGCCACCAGGGUUCCUUCCAGAAAGUCCGUCUCUGUCCAAGAGCGUCAAGCAGUUUGCAAACAAGGCUCUAAACAGUGGUGACGUGGAGAGCAAGUUGGCCGUUGCCGAACCGACGCUAAGCAUGGCCAAAAAGCUGGCCAAGCCUGCGGUCGCCGAGAGGAACUCGUUUGGACACUCCUCGCUGGCUGAGCUCACUCUAUAGUCAGACCAGCGUUGGCGUUGGCUCCUUGAGCGCGUCUCCUUGUCCUCGCUCGAGAAGCAGACCGCCGAGCUGACCAAUGCCAAGUCAGCCGCUUUCACAAGUCACCGUCAGACUCGCAGGUGUCCGUUCAUCCUCCAGCGCCUGUCCGAGCUGCUGACGACGCCGAGGCAGCAGUACAACCGCAUCGACAAGUUCUGGUUGUCAGCGGCAACGAUCCUCCGCAGGUCACGGCCAACGGUCUGUCCGAGGACAACGGCCUCGAGGCCCCAGAGCCCAAGAAGCCGCGCAUUGAGGAAGCCGAGGAGAAGCUGGACACGGAGACUGCCGUCAAGGAGCAAAAUGGCGACCACGUCGAAGACAAGAAAGACGAGGAAGAACCUGCCAAAGAACCUGAAGUGGAUGGUGAGAUGAACGAGGAAGCCUCCGAGCCAGAGGCUGAACAUCAGGUUGAAGCCGAGACUGCCGAAGCUCCGAAGGAAGCUGCGGAAGAACCGGAAAUCGCAAAGGAGUCUGAAACACCGCCAGCUGAAGCUGUGGAGGAAGCUGAGAAUCAGGAAGAGCCUGUGGCUGUGUCUGAAGACCAAGAGAUGCCUUUGUUGGAAAAAGAGGCGCCGCGUUGGUCUCUCCCGAGAAGGAUUUGAGUGACGAAAGGUGUCGAGAGCACUCAAAACUGAGGACGUGCCAAUGCCAAUGGAGGAGCAGAGCUGAGUUGCAUUUACUCGCGUGGACAAUUAUCUGAUACUUAAUUUAUUUUCUGAUGCCGCUCUCAACUGAGCCUCUGUUAACUCUCACAAACCGUCGAAUUUAGCAGAAGAAUGACACGUAACGGUGGUUGGCAAUGACACCCCGUAAUUUUAGUUUCUCAGUGCUUAUGCGCUACGCUGCGAAAUAUUUAUUUUUAUCUCACCUGUAUUCUAAUAAAGAGACAGCUGCUCACA